rnacentral:rRNA from 1 species
AACGAACGCUGGCGGUAUGCUUAACACAUGCAAGUCGAACGGGUCUAUUUGGGGUAACUCGAAUAGAUUAGUGGCAAACGGGUGAGUAAUACAUAGGAAUCUGCCCAGCAGUAAGGAAUAACCUUGGGAAACCAAGGCUAAUACCAUAUAUUACCGUCUACUUAACUGUAGUCGGGAAAGAUUUAUCGCUGUUGGAUGAGCCUAUGUCGAAUUAGCUUGUUGGUAGGGUAAAGGCCUACCAAGGCGAUGAUUCGUAGCUGGUCUGAGAGGAUGAUCAGCCACACUGGGACUGAGACACGGCCCAGACUCCUACGGGAGGCAGCAGUGGGGAAUAUUGGACAAUGGGCGCAAGCCUGAUCCAGCAAUACCGCGUGAGUGAUGAAGGCCUUCGGGUUGUAAAGCUCUUUUAGUAGGGAAGAUAAUGACGGUACCUACAGAAAAAGCACCGGCUAACUUCGUGCCAGCCGCCGCCGUAA